GAUGAACGCUGGCGGCGUGCUUAACACAUGCAAGUCGAACGAUCAAGCCCAGCUUGCUGGGUGGAUUAGUGGCGAACGGGUGAGUAACACGUGAGUAACCUGCCCUUCACUCUGGGAUAAGCCUGGGAAACUGGGUCUAAUACCGGAUAGGAGCGUCCACCGCAUGGUGGGUGUUGGAAAGAUUUAUCGGUUUUGGAUGGACUCGCGGCCUAUCAGCUUGUUGGUGAGGUAAUGGCUCACCAAGGCGACGACGGGUAGCCGGCCUGAGAGGGUGACCGGCCACACUGGGACUGAGACACGGCCCAGACUCCUACGGGAGGCAGCAGUGGGGAAUAUUGCACAAUGGGCGCAAGCCUGAUGCAGCGACGCCGCGUGAGGGAUGACGGCCUUCGGGUUGUAAACCUCUUUCAGUAGGGAAGAAGCGAAAGUGACGGUACCUGCAGAAGAAGCACCGGCUAACUACGUG
rnacentral:rRNA from 1 species